rnacentral:lncRNA from 1 species
AGGUGAUCGAGAAUAAGUAGUUGUUGAUUGCUGUCGUGAGUGGCUAUCUCUCACUGUGUCUUUAGGUGCUCUGAUUAGUAACGGGAUGGGAACUUUUGUGGCUAUUUUCUAUUCCUUACAUAUUUGAUUAUGAAUUUAUAUGAUUAAGUUGUUAAUUGGAUUUUUAUGAGAUGUUUUGAUGAGGCCUUCGUGCCAAGACUAUUUAUGUUGUUGAAUUAAAUCCGCUGCGAAGUUUUGAAUAUUUAUGUUGAUUGAUUUAUGAAGGAUAAAUUGUUAUUUAUUCCA